GGGGUCGACCUGGUUUCGACAGGGGUUACAAAGCAGUCAGUGCAUACCGAGGCCAGAUCACCUCGUAAAUACAGUCUGAAAAUAUAUAACUGCAAACGAUAACUCGUACGCAUUAGCCGCUUAAAUCCGGCUUUCCUUACACCGUUUUGUCCCUAGGGCGGGCUGGCAACAGCAGUAAGGUUAUUCAUAGGGAAUCGUCACACAUUGGGUUACUUAGUGCGUGCUUAAAUUUAAGGUAACUAGCCUUGCCGCAGCGUGUUUGUCCGCGUCGUCGAGGUUAAAUCAAAAGACAAAACUAAGUAUGUAGAUCUGCCUGUAGAGGGCUUCUGGACGCGGGUUCAAUUCCCGCCGACUCCACCA
rnacentral:tmRNA from 1 species